CGAACUCUCUCGAACGGAUUGCAAAUUUCGAAGGAAAACCUCCCUCACUUCAGAGUCUUCUCUCAAGUCUCAACCCAGCCGUGCCGUCUCUCAACCCUAGCCGUGCCGUCUCUCAACUCUCUCGAAGCCUACGAUCUGGGCUACGUGCCGAUUGCGAAUCUAUCCCUGUCUCGAAACCGACGACUGAAGAAGAUGAUGAAUACUUUCUGCAAAGAAGUCACUAGGAUGAUGCUGUAGAUCCUCCAUCUGAAGAACAAGCAAGAGGAGGGGAAGAUUGUGAUCAUUCUUUUGUCUUGAAGGAUGAUCUUUUUUUUUUUUAAUCUGUUAAUGUAUUAGUUUAAUUAGCUGUGAUG